rnacentral:tRNA from 1 species
GGAAAUAGCUCAGUGGUAGAGCACAUGCUUAGAACGCACUAGGUCCUGGGUUCAAUCCCCAGUGCCUCCA